GACGAACGCUGGCGGCGUGCUUAACACAUGCAAGUCGAACGGUGAAGCGCCUUCCUUUUUGGUGGGUGUGGAUGAGUGGCGAACGGGUGAGUAACACGUGAGUAACCUGCCCCCUUCUUCUGGAUAACCGCAUGAAAGUGUGGCUAAUACGGGAUAUUCUGGGUCUGUCGCAUGAUGGGUCUGGGAAAGAUAUUGUUUCGGUGGGGGAUGGGCUCGCGGCCUAUCAGCUUGUUGGUGGGGUGAUGGACUACCAAGGCGGUGACGGGUAGCCGGCCUGAGAGGGUGGACGGUCACACUGGGACUGAGACACGGCCCAGACUCCUACGGGAGGCAGCAGUGGGGAAUAUUGCACAAUGGGCGCGAGCCUGAUGCAGCGGCGCCGCGUGAGGGAUGGAGGCCUUCGGGUUGUGAACCUCUUUCGCCAGUGAAGCAGGCCUGCCUCGUUUGUGGGUGGGUUGACGGUAGCUGGAGAAGAAGCGCCGGCUAACUACGUG
rnacentral:rRNA from 1 species